rnacentral:lncRNA from 1 species
GCUGAAAGAUUUUCGCUGCACUAAUUCACCCCCCCCCUCUUAGUGCUCUCGAUCCUAACAAUUGGUAUCAGAGCGGGGUAUUUCUCAUUUCGGAUUUACACCCGAGAGAAAUGGCUCUUCAAGAGGGCUUUUCGAUCUUUCGUCCACCGUUCUUUAACGGAUUGGACUACACUUAUUGGAAAACUCGAAUGAGAGUUUUCUUGAUUUCUCUAAAUUUGGAUUUAUG